AGCGAACGCUGGCGGCAGGCUUAACACAUGCAAGUCGAGCGGGCGUAGCAAUACGUCAGCGGCAGACGGGUGAGUAACGCGUGGGAACGUACCUUUUGGUUCGGAACAACACAGGGAAACUUGUGCUAAUACCGGAUAAGCCCUUACGGGGAAAGAUUUAUCGCCGAAAGAUCGGCCCGCGUCUGAUUAGCUAGUUGGUGAGGUAACGGCUCACCAAGGCGACGAUCAGUAGCUGGUCUGAGAGGAUGAUCAGCCACAUUGGGACUGAGACACGGCCCCAGACUCCUACGGGAGGCAGCAGUGGGGAAUAUUGGACAAUGGGCGAAAGCCUGAUCCAGCAAUGCCGCGUGAGUGAUGAAGGCCUUAGGGUUGUAAAGCUCUUUUACCCGGGAUGAUAAUGACAGUACCGGGAGAAUAAGCCCCGGCUAACUCCGU
rnacentral:rRNA from 1 species